rnacentral:rRNA from 1 species
GCCAGCAGCCAUAUCAGCCUGCAACUAACAGCUGGCAGCCCAGUGAAGCCAAGCAGGUGUGAGCCUAGUCAGUACCUGGAUGGGAGACCACCGGGGAAAAACUAAGGUUGCCGCUGGAA